CCUAAGAGACAGCAAUGCCUGCAAGUGAAAGAAGGACGGACAGUCUGGCUUUGUGUGAGAGCAGCACGGAAUGAAGAGAGAAGCAGCCAGAGUGAUUUAUUGCAGCAGCAUUGGACAGGCAAGCUGGGAAUGGUGAUAGAGAACAAAUCUCUAUCUAACAAAGUGUAGGGGACUUUUACCUCGUUAUGGGAAGCAAGCCUGCAAUUCUCAACAUGGGUGGUGUGCAGGAGAGGUGUGUCUUACAGCUAGUGUAACACCCACUGAAAAAUGAAAAAUGUGCUCAGCAGGAGACAUGGUUAAUGGAAAUAAAAUAAAGUAUGACAUAAUUAUAAAAUAGGAGUCAAGCCAAAUGGGUUAGAAAACUGCAAACCUAUAUCUGUCAUGACAGGUUCACUUUAAGAUAAAG